rnacentral:rRNA from 1 species
GACGAACGCUGGCGGCGUACUUAACACAUGCAAGUCGAACGGAAAGGCCCUGCUUUUGUGGGGUGCUCGAGUGGCGAACGGGUGAGUAACACGUGAGUAACCUGCCCUUGACUUUGGGAUAACUUCAGGAAACUGGGGCUAAUACCGGAUAGGAGCUCCUGCUGCAUGGUGGGGGUUGGAAAGUUUCGGCGGUUGGGGAUGGACUCGCGGCUUAUCAGCUUGUUGGUGGGGUAGUGGCUUACCAAGGCUUUGACGGGUAGCCGGCCUGAGAGGGUGACCGGCCACAUUGGGACUGAGAUACGGCCCAGACUCCUACGGGAGGCAGCAGUGGGGAAUAUUGCACAAUGGGCGGAAGCCUGAUGCAGCAACGCCGCGUGCGGGAUGACGGCCUUCGGGUUGUAAACCGCUUUCGCCUGUGACGAAGCGUGAGUGGCGGUAAUGGGUAAAGAAGCACCGGCUAACUACGUG